AGCAGCCGCGGUAAUUCCAGCUCCAAUAGCGUAUAUUAAAGUUGUUGCAGUUAAAAAGCUCGUAGUUGAAUUUCGGGAUUAAUACGUCUGUCGUGCCUUUGGUACGUACGGGUGUAAUUGGUUUCUACCUUCUGAGGAUCCUUGAUGUCAUUAAUUUGGUGUCUUGGGGAAUCAGGACUGUUACCUUGAAAAAAUUAGAGUGUUUAAAGCAGGCAUACGCUUGAAUACAUUAGCAUGGAAUAAUGAAAUAGGACGUUCGAUUCUAUUUUGUUGGUUUCUAGGAUCGACGUAAUGAUUAAUAGGGAUAGUUGGGGGCAUUAGUAUUCAAUUGUCAGAGGUGAAAUUCUUGGAUUUAUUGAAGACUAACUACUGCGAAAGCAUUUGCCAAGGAUGUUUUCAUUAAUCAAGAACGAAAGUUAGGGGAUCGAAGACGAUCAGAUACCGUCGUAGUCUUAACCAUAAACUAUGCCGACUAGGGAUCGGAUGAUGUUAAUUUUUAAUGACUCAUUCGGCGCCUUAC
rnacentral:rRNA from 1 species